CGUUUGUGAGCUGCUGGGUGAAUGUUGGGAAGAACACGUCUCCAGGAGAAAGCUUCGUAGCCACAGAACCAUCUUCCUGGCCAUCUCCAGUGGGAGCCCUGAAAUCUCACCAUCCUUUGAAGAGUGGGAAUGUGUUCCAUGACAGGAAGAUGAGAUGGCAGAUCCAGUGGUCCAGCUGCUAGCAUGGUCAUGGACUUGGGGUAUGGGAAAAAAACAAAACCAAGGGAGCUGACCUCAGCUGCCCCACAGCUAAUCAUCUUUUGAAGGAGACGCUUGAGGGAAAACAGAAACAACAGGAUGGUGCCCAGGCUGUGGCAGGGACUAUGCUUCAGGUGGUCUCUGCCAGAGCUGGCCCUGUCCUAAUGUGCUCCCGUCUUGCACUGGGCAAGACGAAUGACAGAGUAGGCUGUGGACAGAGCCGUGACCAAGCCCUAAGCCUGCCUUAGGGGUCCACCCAGCAAAUAAUCCAGCACCCAAAGAAAGUGUGGCAAGUGCUGUGAUGAAGAAAAUCUGGGCAACUGCAGGGGUACAGAAGGAGGGUGAGUAAUCUACUCUUGGUUGACAGGGGCCUGUGGGGGCGCAGAAAGCUGGUGAUCUUCCCAGCCAUUACAUUACAACAAAACCUCCCGAGGCACCAGACUGAGCUCAAUGCUAAGUGCCUUCACCUCACUUCAUCUAUUUAAAUUCUGCUUAGAUCAUGUUUUUUAACUGUUCUCCUCCGCAUCCUCUGCAUCCUUGAAUGCAACCUCUGUAAAGAGUGUUCCUGGUACAUGCUAGGUACCCACUCUCACCAGCCAGUCCCAGUGCGGUAUGUUCCCUCCAGAGGGUGGCUGUCUGCACACUUGCCACCCUAAGAGUGGACCACAGACCAAGGCCAUCUGGGGACUUAUUAGAAAUGAAGAAUUUUCUACCCCAGACCAGGUGAGUAUUAAGUACUUUAAAGCUAAUUUGUCCAGUUCCAAGAGCCCUAAAUGGCUACUGGGCAUUUGAAACAUGGCUAGUCUGAGCCGAGAGGUACUGUAAAUACGAGAUCCCAGGUUUAGAAGCCAGCACAAAAAAAAAAAAAGGUGAAAUAUCUCAUUAAUAAUUAUUUUUAUAUUGAUUACCUGUCAAAAUGAUAUUUUUAGAUAUUUUGUGUUAAAUCAAAAUAUUAUUAAAAGUCAUUUUAUCUGUUUCUUUUAUUUUCACCAUGGCUACUAGAAAAUUAAAAAUUUCAGAUGAAGCUCACAUCCUGUUUACAUAGGAAAGGGCUGCUUUAACAUGUGAGAAGCACUGGUUUAGGAUAAUGACCAGGAACCAGAGCUGACAAACUAGAGCCUGAAGUUCCCAGUCUGGCCCAGCGCCUGUUUUGGUAAAUAAACUUCCACUGGGACUCGGUCAUGUUCACUCGCUAUGUCUUGCCUGUGAUUGCCUUUGAGCUACAAGAGCAGAUUAAAUAGGUGUGAUAGAAACUGGCCUGUAGAGCCUAAAAUAUCAACCACUUGGCCCUUCUCAGGAAGCAUUUGCUGACCCCUAGUCAGGAGCGUGAGUUCCAGAGAGGGACAGCCUGGCUCCACAUCAGCCCUCCACUGCUUUUCAGUACAUAAGGUUGGGCAAGGGACUUCAUAUCAGUUUCUCAAUUUCUGUAUCUGAGGACAGGGAUAAAAGUACCUAUGUUAUUGAGUUGUUAUAAAGAUUAAAUCAGCUGAUAAUGUGAAAUUCUUUAGAGUGGGCCUUGCACUUAGUAGGUUCUCAAUAAACCUUAGCCUCGUUGUUAUUGCUAGCAAUUAUCACAAGUUAUAACCACACAUUUUUGCUUUGUUAUCUUUUUAUUGUCCUACUAGACAAAAACCCCAGGAGAGCAGGGACAUGUUCUGUCUUGUUCUAGCUGUUUAACUGAGAGCAUGAUAGAAAUUCAAUUAUGUUUUUGUUGAAUGAAUGAGGUCCUGAGGAAAAUAAUCUGACUAAGGCUAUAUGGCAAGUAGCUGGGAAUUGAACCUGGUUCUCUCUGCUCUCCAGAUGCUUAAUCUCUCUUGCUACCCCUAGUGUGGUCUCUGGACCAGCAGCAUCACCUGGGAACUUGUUAGAAAUGCAGACUCUUAGGCACCACCCACCCCAGACAUACUGAAUCAAAAACUAUUUUAAGAUCACCAAGAGAUUCCUUGUUGAAGUUUAGGAUGCACUGCUCUGGGCUAAGACGCUCUGCUUAUUCACAAGUAAUUAAUGUAGCAUCAGUCUUUCCACCAAGCACUCUGUUUGACCCCCUAAUGAUGAUUACUUCUGUUCACCCCACUAAGGCCCAGGGGUGAUGAGGUUCUGCAAUAAAUGUCCCUGUGCUCUGUCAGAAAGUGCUUCCAGGUUUAAACCACUGCUAUGCAGGCACGACCUCUCUGCAUAGAAAUCUGCUUAACAUUCCACACCAGCCUCUGGUGACCAGGCCACAGGCCCAGAGGUGGCAGGGGGCUGAAAAUCCACUCCUAAAUAAUUUUGCUCUGGUGCCUACCACAGUGAAUGGGUUCUUCUCUGCACCUUACACACCAGGGCCUGCCCCACCAAAUAUGCACCCAUCCCUAAAUUUAAUAGUUCAGGUACCUUCAUUUUGAUUCUAUAAAUGAAAGCAAAUCAUCUCCUAUGCAUAUUACAAACCAAUUAAAAUUCUCCCCACACUGACUUUGCUUUGUCUUACUUGUCUCCUGGCCCCAAGGUCCUAUGCUCUUCACCUAACUAUUUUCUUAGAAACGGCCCAUCUUGCGGCAUGUCAGAGGACCAGGGUGCUUAAAAUUAGCCCCAAAUCUUACAAUGGAUUCCCAUUUGUCACAGUAAGAAGUUGCAAAUUGUGGUCGUCAGUUGAACACUUUCAAUUAGGAAAAGACUGAUUAGCAUAAUUCUUAAAGGUCUGAACUCUAAACUCACAGAUGGCCUCUGAGAGGAUUGAUGGCCCAUAAAGGAGAUUAGGAUAAAUCUAAUUAGUUAGGGGGGUGUUCCCAUUUCUGGAGUCAAGUGGUGAGCGAUGGAGAAGUGAUGGAUGGACAGAUGGAUAUAAUGAAGUCCCAUUAACGUCUUUUUGAUUCCCUCUCGCAGUGAUGGAGCACAUUACCCCAUUAAUGGUCCUGUGAGCUAACACAGUCAAAGUUUGGUGCUGUGACCUUGAAAAUGAAUUUCAAUUGCCUGCCUGGCUCUUUGCACAUAUCCAUGGGACUCAAAUGAGCCUGAAAACUCUGGGCCUGCUGUGGAGCCAUCCCUACAGCAGGGGCUGGAAGUCCUCCCUCUGCGGAGGAGCCUUCCUCCUGGCUGGUUUCUAAAAGCACUCAGGCAGAGUCUCACAGCUUUUCUGUCCCCACUGCUCUACAACUUGCAUUUCCUAGGAAAUUAGCUUUUUUUGUAUCCAUUCCAAUGUACUGAUCUGAACUGCUGUUGUUCUUUUCAUUGCCAGUGAUGGCUACAUAUCAUCAUCAUCAUCACAGGCUGAUUAGGGAUCUAACGGUAGAUUCUAAGGAAGAAAAGUGACCAGACAGUGCCCUUUUCUUGAGGGGCUCUGGCUCAGUCAUAGAGCUGUGAGAUAAACCACAAGCUAGGACAUUUCAUGGCUAGGUGCAGGACAAGGGUUGACUGGCUGGACAGCUCAGAGAACAGGGUGGAAACAGCUGUGGUUCAUGCGGGGAAACCAUGGAAAGAGGUGGGACUCCCAUUUCUUCCUGAGCUGACCAGAGUGACCUUAUCAAUCUCUCCUUUCAUCUGCUUUUGAGCCUCUGGUGUCCAGUAUCAUUUAAAAGUAUAAAUCUGAUUAUGUGAUUCCCUCUGGUCUUAACUGGAGCUGACAUUUAUUGAACACUUACUGUGCACUCAGCACUGAUCUCAGCAUACUUCAUAUGUCAUUUCUAUUAGUCUUCAGAAGAGCCUGAUGUGGUAGGUACUAGUAUCAUCUGUCUAUUACUGGUGAAGAAAUGGAGGCAGCAAGAGGGUACCUGGCCCAGUGAGUAACAGAAUUUCUAAACAAAUUUAGGCAUCCUGCCUCCAGAACUCAGAUUCUCCUUUAACUCCUAUUCUUCAGUCUCUGUUCUCCCAUCAUGCGUAGAAUAAAAUCUAACUCCUCUCUGACCUCAUCUUGCACUACCCUCUCCCAUGCUCAUUGCUCGCAUGCUCAUCAUAUUCUAGCCACAGUCUCUAAGUGUGGUCUACUUUAGGCCCUUUUCAUUUGUAGGACCCUCUUUACUUUUCUCCACUCCCCUUCUCAUGCAAGUCAUCUCAGCCAAAGCCAUGACUUUAAAUGCCAUCGCCAUGAGCCCCAAAUAUAUUUCUCGUGUGGGCCCUCUAAUGAGUUCCAGCCACGUACGUUCCUCAGUUUACUUGAUGAUUCCUCUUACAUGUGUAAUGGGCACCUUGUAUUUCUUGUAAACAAAAGAGAACGCCUGCCUUGUAGCACUCAUCCUAUUUCUGUCUUUCCAGUAAAUGUCAAUCACCAUCUAGCUGAUUCCUCAAGCCAAAUACUAGAAAUUCUUAGGCUCUGAGGGUUCAUGGUCAACUCCAUUAACAAAAUCUACCUGCCAGUUUCCAGAACACAAUGCCAAAUGGUCUACUUAUCUCCACCUCACCAUCAUCUCCACCAUAAACCACUGAGAUAACACCUUGAUGCACCCCCUUGCUUGAAUUUUCACCUGCUUUCAACCCAGCCAGAGCGAUCCUUAUAAAAUCUAGAUUACAUUGUUUUCUUGUCUAAGACUCUCCAACUCCAAUCUCAUUCUGGGCCUACCAGACUUUAGGCCACCACCUGCCUCUGUAACCACAUUCUCCUUCUGCCUGCUCACCAGUCAUCCAGGCCUACUGGCCUUUGUUCUGUUUCUUGAACAGGUCAGGCUCAUCCUGGACUAUGGCUUUUGCAAUCACUAUGCACUCUAAUUGGAACACUCUCUGUCCCCAGGUUCUCCAGACUUGUCUCUUAUCCUUAUCAGAU